rnacentral:rRNA from 1 species
UGGAAUGGUUUAUGUUUCAAAUAAUUUAUUGCCGUAGGAUGGGACUGCGGCCUAUCAGUUUGUUGGUGAGGUAAUGGCCCACCAAGACUAUUACAGGUACGGGCUCUGAGAGGAGUAGCCCGGAGAUGGGUACUGAGACACGGACCCAGGCCCUAUGGGGCGCAGCAGGCGAGAAAACUUUGCAAUGUGCGAAAGCACGACAAGGUUAAUCCGAGUGGUUUCUGCUAAAGGAACCUUUUGUCAGUCCUAGAAACACCGAUGAAUAAGGGGUGGGCAAGUUCUGGUGUCAGCCGCCGCGGUAAAACCAGCACCUCAAGUGGUCAGGAUGAUUAUUGGGCCUAAAGCAUCCGUAGCCUGCUUUGUAAGUUUUCGGUUAAAUCCAUACGCUCAACGUAUGGGCUGCCGGGAAUACUGCAAAGCUAGGGAGUGGGAGAGGUAGACGGUACUCGGUAGGAAGGGGUAAAAUCCUUUGAUCUAUUGAUGACCACCUGUGGCGAAGGCGGUCUACCAGAACACGUCCGACGGUGAGGGAUGAAAGCUGGGGGAGCAAACCGGAUUAGAUACCC